UUUUGCAGGUUAACCUUUUUGUUUAUGCUUGCUUUGCCUGGGCAUAGUUCUGUGCAUCAUUUUUACGGGUAUUCAGGAUGCAUGUAGUCGUGGGGACCCCUUUCUUACUUGGAGAAGUGUUAGGAGAUGAAAGGUUUGCUAUAAUGGGAUUGAUGACGAACUUCUUCGGGCCUGCUCGACCAGGAAAACAAACUUAAGAUCCCUUUAUGAUGGAGUCGGAUUUUCAAUUUGAAUGAAGUUUCUUUUCAUUUUUACUCCCACGUGUCUCAACUUAAUUAGCAAAGUUCGAAUGGAAAAAAAUUGCGGGGCAAAAAUCCAAUGUGCCUGUUACGAUCGAUAUCAUUUCAGUGUUAGCUCUGUUAGGCUCUGAGAGUGAACCUAUAAUUGUAUAAGAUUCAAGAAACUUGUUCUAUGAAUUGGGGCAUUGUCUUGUUCU